AACGCACAUUGCGCCCGCUGGUAUUCCAGCGGGCAUGCCCGUUCGAGCGUCAUUUUAAUCCCUUCCCGUGAGACUCUUCUAUUCUUGUAGUGGCGUCCGCGGGGCGUUGGCACUGGGCGCCUCAUUUUUUGGGGGCGGCCAGAGCCGAAAUGAAGCGGCGGACUCGCGGUGGCCCCUAGCGCAGUAGAAACAACCCCUUCUCGCUUAGGAGAGCCGCAGCGGUGGACCACAGCCCCUACGUAGCUAUACAAAAGCUGUAUAACACAUAUAAAAACUUGACCUCGGAUCGGGUAGGAUUACCCGCUGAACUUAA
rnacentral:misc_RNA from 1 species